rnacentral:rRNA from 1 species
AGUGAACGCUGGCGGUAGGCCUAACACAUGCCAGUCGAACGGCAGCACAGUAAGAGCUUGCUCUUACGGGUGGCGAGUGGCGGACGGGUGAGGAAUACAUCGGAAUCUACUUUUUCGUGGGGGAUAACGUAGGGAAACUUACGCUAAUACCGCAUACGACCUACGGGUGAAAGCAGGGGAUCUUCGGACCUUGCGCGAUUGAAUGAUCCGAUGUCGGAUUAGCUAGUUGGCGGGGUAAAGGCCCACCAAGGCGACGAUCCGUAGCUGGUCUGAGAGGAUGAUCAGCCACACUGGAACUGAGACACGGUCCAGACUCCUACGGGAGGCAGCAGUGGGGAAUAUUGGACAAUGGGCGCAAGCCUGAUCCAGCCAUACCGCGUGGGUGAAGAAGGCCUUCGGGUUGUAAAGCCCUUUUGUUGGGAAAGAAAAGCAGCAGGUUAAUACCCCGCUGUUCUGACGGUACCCAAAGAAUAAGCACCGGCUAACUUCGUG